UACGUAGGGUGCAAGCGUUGUCCGGAAUUAUUGGGCGUAAAGAGCUCGUAGGCGGUUUUGUCGCGUCGUUUGUGAAAACCAGCAGCUCAACUGCUGGCUUGCAGGCGAUACGGGCAGACUUGAGUACUGCAGGGGAGACUGGAAUUCCUGGUGUAGCGGUGAAAUGCGCAGAUAUCAGGAGGAACACCGGUGGCGAAGGCGGGUCUCUGGGCAGUAACUGACGCUGAGGAACGAAAGCGUGGGUAGCGAACAGG
rnacentral:rRNA from 1 species